rnacentral:rRNA from 1 species
GAUGAACGCUGGCGGCGUGCCUAAUACAUGCAAGUCGAGCGAACGGACGAGAAGCUUGCUUCUCUGAUGUUAGCGGCGGACGGGUGAGUAACACGUGGAUAACCUACCUAUAAGACUGGGAUAACUUCGGGAAACCGGAGCUAAUACCGGAUAAUAUUUUGAACCGCAUGGUUCAAAAGUGAAAGACGGUCUUGCUGUCACUUAUAGAUGGAUCCGCGCUGCAUUAGCUAGUUGGUAAGGUAACGGCUUACCAAGGCAACGAUGCAUAGCCGACCUGAGAGGGUGAUCGGCCACACUGGAACUGAGACACGGUCCAGACUCCUACGGGAGGCAGCAGUAGGGAAUCUUCCGCAAUGGGCGAAAGCCUGACGGAGCAACGCCGCGUGAGUGAUGAAGGUCUUCGGAUCGUAAAACUCUGUUAUUAGGGAAGAACAUAUGUGUAAGUAACUGUGCACAUCUUGACGGUACCUAAUCAGAAAGCCACGGCUAACUACGUGCCAGCAGCCGCGGUAAUACGUAGGUGGCAAGCGUUAUCCGGAAUUAUUGGGCGUAAAGCGCGCGUAGGCGGUUUUUUAAGUCUGAUGUGAAAGCCCACGGCUCAACCGUGGAGGGUCAUUGGAAACUGGAAAACUUGAGUGCAGAAGAGGAAAGUGGAAUUCCAUGUGUAGCGGUGAAAUGCGCAGAGAUAUGGAGGAACACCAGUGGCGAAGGCGACUUUCUGGUCUGUAACUGACGCUGAUGUGCGAAAGCGUGGGGAUCAAACAGGAUUAGAUACCCUGGUAGUCCACGCCGUAAACGAUGAGUGCUAAGUGUUAGGGGGUUUCCGCCCCUUAGUGCUGCAGCUAACGCAUUAAGCACUCCGCCUGGGGAGUACGACCGCAAGGUUGAAACUCAAAGGAAUUGACGGGGACCCGCACAAGCGGUGGAGCAUGUGGUUUAAUUCGAAGCAACGCGAAGAACCUUACCAAAUCUUGACAUCCUUUGACAACUCUAGAGAUAGAGCCUUCCCCUUCGGGGGACAAAGUGACAGGCGGUGCAUGGUUGUCGUCAGCUCGUGUCGUGAGAUGUUGGGUUAAGUCCCGCAACGAGCGCAACCCUUAAGCUUAGUUGCCAUCAUUAAGUUGGGCACUCUAAGUUGACUGCCGGUGACAAACCGGAGGAAGGUGGGGAUGACGUCAAAUCAUCAUGCCCCUUAUGAUUUGGGCUACACACGUGCUACAAUGGACAAUACAAAGGGCAGCGAAACCGCGAGGUCAAGCAAAUCCCAUAAAGUUGUUCUCAGUUCGGAUUGUAGUCUGCAACUCGACUACAUGAAGCUGGAAUCGCUAGUAAUCGUAGAUCAGCAUGCUACGGUGAAUACGUUCCCGGGUCU